rnacentral:rRNA from 1 species
AAACCAACUGGGAUUACCUUAGUAACGGCGAGUGAAGCGGUAAAAGCUCAAAUUUGAAAUCUGGUACUUUCAGUGCCCGAGUUGUAAUUUGUAGAAUUUGUCUUUGAUUAGGUCCUUGUCUAUGUUCCUUGGAACAGGACGUCAUAGAGGGUGAGAAUCCCGUUUGGCGAGGAUACCUUUUCUCUGUAAGACUUUUUCGAAGAGUCGAGUUGUUUGGGAAUGCAGCUCAAAGUGGGUGGUAAAUUCCAUCUAAAGCUAAAUAUUGGCGAGAGACCGAUAGCGAACAAGUACAGUGAUGGAAAGAUGAAAAGAACUUUGAAAAGAGAGUGAAAAAGUACGUGAAAUUGUUGAAAGGGAAGGGCAUUUGAUCAGACAUGGUGUUUUUUGCAUGCACUCGCCUCUCGUGGGCUUGGGCCUCUCAAAAAUUUCACUGGGCCAACAUCAAUUCUGGCAGCAGGAUAAAUCAUUAAGAAUGUAGCUACUUCGGUAGUGUUAUAGCUUUUUGGAAUACUGUUAGCCGGGAUUGAGGACUGCGCUUCGGCAAGGAUGUUGGCAUAAUGGUUAAAUGCCGCCC